GGCGUGUUGCAAUUUUUGAAUUCAAAAUACUAGUUGGAUACAAUGGCUGCUUUCGAGGUGUCAACUUUUAUUUUAGCCGUCCUUAUAAGUGUUGCUUUGAUAUUCUUCGCUGUGUGGAAUAUUAUUUCAUUUGAUGAUUUGAAAACGGAUUAUAAAAAUCCUGUCGACCUUUGCAACAGUUUAAAUCCUUUAGUACUGCCAGAAUAUGGCCUCCACUUAUUUAUAUGUCUGUUCUUCCUUGUUGGAUUUUUUUGGACAUCAUUGAUUUGGAACAUGCCACUAAUUGCAUAUCAUGUUCACAGAUAUAUGAACCGACCAGUUAUGAGCAGACCUGGUUUAUAUGAUCCUACUAUCAUUAUGAAUGGCAGUGAAAUGUCUCGUUGUCAAAAAGAAGGAUGGGUCAAACUUGCUUACUAUCUUCUUAGCUUUUUCUUUUAUCUGUAUAGGAUGAUGAGUGCGAUUCUCGCGUAGCCAAUGUUUUGUUGAACUCUUUUUUUGUGCAAAGGCAAAGAAUGACAAAGACAGAUUUCCAAGAGUUUUGUACAUUUCAUCGAUCGAACUACAGUCAUUUAAAGCACUUUAAACUGAAAAUAAGAGCAUAUUUGGUCGCUUUUUG
rnacentral:misc_RNA from 1 species